UCAUAGCUCAGUUGGUAGAGCAUGAGACUCUUAAUCAUAGGGUUGUGGGUUUGAGCCCACAUUGGGCAAAA
rnacentral:tRNA from 1 species